UACGUAGGGGGCAAGCGUUGUCCGGAAUCAUUGGGCGUAAAGCGCGUGUAGGCGGCUCGGUAAGUCUGCUGUGAAAGUCCAGGGCUCAACCCUGGGAUGCCGGUGGAUACUGUCGAGCUCGAGUCCGGAAGAGGCGAGUGGAAUUCCUGGUGUAGCGGUGAAAUGCGCAGAUAUCAGGAGGAACACCAAUGGCGAAGGCGGCCCUCUGGACGGUGACUGACGCUGAGACGCGAAAGCGUGGGGAGCAAACAGG
rnacentral:rRNA from 1 species